ACAAGGACUCAGCUUUUAUGUUUUUCCAGAUGUUUGGUCAGAUAUCCCAUUAUCAUUUGUUAAAUUAUUAUCUAACUUGAUACACAUUAUUUAAUAUUCUAAAUUCCCAAAACUUUAUACUUUAGUUCUUUCUUUGGACUCUUUUUAUAUUAUAUAAAUAUUCAUUUCUAUGUUGAUGCCAUACUGUUAAUUAUUGAACUUUACACUAUUCCUAAGUAUGUAAUAGUAUAAAUCCCUACUCUUGCUUUUCAGUAUUGCUUCCAUCAAACAUUUAUAAAGUCCUUUUCAUUUAUAAACUCCUACUCCACUAUUGCCCUACUUUAUUUAAUAUUUAAUGUGGCUAUAACAAAGUAUCUAAGUCUUGGUACUGUAUGAAGAUAACAGAUUUAUUUAGUUUUCAGUUCUGUUAAUCCAAGAGGAUGGUGCUGGCAUCAGCUUCUGGUGAGAGCAGAUAGUGUCAUGUAGUGGGAGCACAUGUGAGGGGGAUCAGUGUCAGAUGACAAGAGAGAAAGCAAGAAGGCUAGCCAAGAAAGCUAAAUUCACUUUAUAUAUCAAAACCUACUCCAGCAGUAACCAAUCUAGACUCACAACAACUAUCCCACUUCAGGACACAAGUUGGUGCCCUUAAGGGCCUACUUUACUAGGUCCCACCACUUCCCUAGGUUCCACCACCUCUCAAUACCAUUACAUUAAGGAACAAGCCUCCAGCACAUGAAAUUUUGGGGAACAAAUCAUAUCCAAGAAUAGCAACUAUACAAUUAACAGUCUUAAUUUAGAGAGUGGGGUUUGCUUACUUAACUUCCACAGGACCAUCUUAUUUCUAAGCUCUUUCUUGGGGAUACCUCACUAUAACCCACUUUUAACACCAACAUGUAUGAGUAAAAAACAAAUCUGAAAUGUCCUAAUAAUCCUAGUUUUCCAAGGGUGCUUUAGAGAUUUAAUUCAGUCGUUAGCCAAUGUUUAUUUUUUCUUUGCUUAAGCAAGGUUGCUUAUUAUUUUUCUAGUAAGCCAAUCUUUAUCUACUGUGUGUCUGGAACUUGUUACAUGUCUGCUUUCCCAUCUUGAGGAAAAGUGAAGGACUCAGUAUGUUACAAAAAACUCAGCAUCAAACCCACAGAAUAGAUGAGGAGAUAGGAAUGGGGCUUAAAGAGUUUUAGUCUGAAUUUAGCUCUGAUUUAACUUUCAUAAUCAUACUUUGAACUCCAAUCAUGGAAGACUACGGUUUAAGAAUACAAAAUUUGUUUGCUCCAGUAUGAUCCUGGGUAGGUCAUGGGAACUUAAGAAGCCUCCCCUAGAAUAAUAACUUUUAGUGGUGUUGUGAAGAUUAAAAAUAAUUGUCCAGUUAACAAAUAUUUGCUGAGCACCUAAUAUAUGUAAGUGGCAAUAACUCAGUGAACAACUUAGACAUAAUUCCUGGCCUUAUGGAAUAUGGUCUAUGUGUGGGUUGGGAAAAGGCAGGCAGGCUACUAAGGAAGAAUUUCAGAGGUCCCUAAUCUAGACUAAGCUUCAGGGACUUCAGAAAAUCUCUUUAAAAAAGUAAAGUGAAAGCUAAAACCAAACAAUGAAGUAGUUAGUUGAGGAGAGGCAUAUUCUAGUCAAGAAUAACAUGUGCCAUACAUUUGAAGAAUUGAGAUAAGUUUCAUAUUUCUAGAAGCAAUGGGCAAAAUUCUGGACAAGGAAAUGAAACGAUUAUCUUUGUACAUAAAAAUAUCAUUUUACAAAUAAAAAUAAAUGAAAAGAUUGUUUUGGAGAAAAAAAUUAGAGUACGAAAGAAAGUUUUAAAAAUGCUUUUACCCUACUUCCUGUCCCCUGGCUUUGAACCUUCCACUGGAUUCCCAUGUUUGGCCAUAGUUUUAUAAUCCCCUUGCUCAGUUUCCAUCCUCACUUCCUUCCAGUCAACUCCCUUGUUGGGAACAACUUACCUUCAGAGUUGUAAGACUGGCUCUUUCUCAUGAUUCCAACCAAAGUCCAAAUAUCCCUUCUUUAGAAUAGUUUCACCUGAACACCUGACCUGAUGUUAAGUUGCCUCCCCUACAGCAUUUACUAUUACUUUUAACCUAUUUAUUGUCUUUAUAGCAUUAGUUCAAUAUUGGGUAUAUCAGUAAGAUACCUGAAAUAUAAGAGAUAAGAUAGCUUGUAAUAGAGGUCUGGUCGUACACUUAAAAUACAAAUCUGAAAUUGUUAGUCCAUAGGUGCUAACUGAAAUCAUGGGAAUAAACCAUGUUGCUUAGGAGGAAAACUUGCAGUGAAAAAAGACAAAGGCAGAGCCUGUAAAGGAGGGUGAGGUGAAGUAACGAGAGAGAGAGAGAGAGAGAGAGAGAGAGACAGAGAGAGAGAGAGAGAGAGAGAGAGAAGAAAUAACAGUGUGCAACAUCAAGGAAGCUAAGAGGACAGACUGAAAGAGAAACUGACAAUGCGGUCAAAGUGACUGAGGAAUUUAGGAAUAUGGAAGUCACCAGUGACCUUAGUGACUGCUAGAGAAUGGAAGGAGUAGAAUUUGAGUGGGUUGAGAAGAGUGGGAGGUGAGGUACUAAAGAUAGCAGAUGAAGACAAGAAUGUUUCAAGAAUUGCUGUGGGAGGAGAAGGAUGGUAUAGUAGGUAGAAGGAAAGGUGGGAUCCAGGGAAUACUCUUUUAAAGACAGGAAAAUCUAAGUGUGUUAAUGCUUAUGAAAAGAAGCUAAUAAAGAAGAAAGGUUGAAGCUACUAAAAAGAGAAAUGCUAACCUCAGAAGGAAAACCCUGAGUGGACAGAAGAUGAGAUUGACCUAAGGAUAGGAAGAGGGAUACCGCCUUUAUUAAAACAGGGAGGAGAGUGGAAAGAAUAUGUACAGUCCAGUAUUGACUGCUUUACCUACAACAACUUCUGUUAAUUAUGUUUGGAGUUUUGGUGGCAGGAAGCUGAGUUAACUCCCACCUGAGGGCUUAUAUUUUCUCUGAAGUCAUCUGUUGAGUAUUGAUAGGAAGUAAGAGAGGACAGUUUGAAAUAGCUGAUGAGUGAAAGAAGCAGCAUACUAAAGAAACAGUGGGACUCCCAUGUGCAGGAAAAUUGAUUAAUAUAAAUAAAGCAACUGGUAUAUAAUAAUUGCUCUAUAACCAAUAAAUAAUAUCUACCAACAUUAUGAUUACUAAUACUGACCACUAUUUUUUACAGUCACGGGCCAAAUAAAAGAAUUUCUGUGUGGGUAGAUUACAACCCUUAUUACAGGGAGUUGGUAUGGGACCUAUAUCCUUGAUGCAUACUAACAGAUAAUAACAUAAGUCACCAUUUAUCAUUGUAUAUCUGCUAUUAGACCUUAUAUUUUUACUUAUGUUGGUUCUGAAAGACUAUGUAUUAUAAAUAUCUGUAUUUCUCAAAGUAUUAUUUAUAAAUGAAUUUGUUUUCUGGUGGUUUUCUGCUGGAUACAAUGGCAAGCAACUGUUUUCUUGCUAUAAAAUAGCCAAACAGACUUGUACCUUCCCAUUUUAUCUGUACAAGGCAAAAUUUCUGGGCACUAUUCACAAUAGGAACUAUUCAGUUUUCACA
rnacentral:lncRNA from 1 species